rnacentral:rRNA from 1 species
GUAACGCGUGAGGAACUACCUACAGGACUGGGACAACAACUGGAAACGGUUGCUAAAACCGGAUGUGCCGAGAGGUGAAAUAUUUUAUAGCCUGUAGAUGUGCUCGCGUCUGAUUAGCUAGUUGGUGGGGUAAGGGCCUACCAAGGCGACGAUCAGUAGCUGGUCUGAGAGGAUGAUCAGCCACACUGGGACUGAGACGCGGCCCAGACUCCUACGGGAGGCAGCAGUGGGGAAUUUUCCGCAAUGGGCGCAAGCCUGACGGAGCAAUACCGCGUGAGGGAGGAAGGCUCUUGGGUCGUAAACCUCUUUUCUCUGGGAAGAAUAACUGACGGUACCAGAGGAAUCAGCAUCGGCUAACUCCGUGCCAGCAGCCGCGGUAAUACGGGGGAUGCAAGCGUUAUCCGGAAUUAUUGGGCGUAAAGCGUCCGCAGGUGGCUAAUCAAGUCUGUUGUCAAAGCGCGGAGCUUAACUCCGUACAGGCGAUGGAAACUGGUUGGCUAGAGUUAGGUAGGGGUAAGAGGAAUUCCCAGUGUAGCGGUGAAAUGCGUAGAUAUUGGGAAAAACACCGGCGGCGAAAGCGUCUUACUGGGCCUAAACUGACACUGAGGGACGAAAGCUAGGGGAGCGAAAGGGAUUAGAUACCCCUGUAGUCCUAGCCGUAAACGAUGACAACUAGGUGUUGCCCGUAUCGACCCGGGCAGUGCCGUAGCUAACGCGUUAAGUUGUCCGCCUGGGGAGUACGCACGCAAGUGUGAAACUCAAAGGAAUUGACGGGGGCCCGCACAAGCGGUGGAGUAUGUGGUUUAAUUCGAUGCAACGCGAAGAACCUUACCAGGGCUUGACAUGUGCAGAAUACCCUUGAAAGGGGGUAGUGCCUUCGGGAGCUGCAACACAGGUGGUGCAUGGCUGUCGUCAGCUCGUGUCGUGAGAUGUUGGGUUAAGUCCCGCAACGAGCGCAACCCACGUUUCUAGUUGCCAUCAUUAAGUUGGGCACUUU